rnacentral:tRNA from 1 species
UUGAUCUGUAGCUCAACUGGCAGAGCACCCGGCUGUUAACCGGGUCGUUGGAGGUUCGAGUCCUCCCAGAUCAGCCAU